rnacentral:rRNA from 1 species
CUCAGUUCGGAUCGGAGUCUGNAACCCGACUCCGUGAAGCUGGAUUCGCUAGUAAUCGCGCAUCAGCCAUGGCGCGGUGAAUACGUUCCCGGGCCUUGUACACACCGCCCGUCAAGCCAUGGGAGCCGGGAGUGCCUGAAGGCCGUGACCGCAAGGAGCGGCCUAAGGUAAAACUGGUGACUGGGGCUAAGUCGUAACAAGGUACC